rnacentral:rRNA from 1 species
UGUGAGUGGAAAUGCCGUCGCUCAACGGAUAAAAGCUACCCUGGGGAUAACAGGCUGAUCUCCCCCAAGAGUCCACAUCGACGGGGAGGUUUGGCACCUCGAUGUCGGCUCAUCGCAUCCUGGGGCUGAAUUCGGUCCCAAGGGUUUGGCUGUUCGCCAAUUAAAGCGGUACGCGAGCUGGGUUCAGAACGUCGUGAGACAGUUCGGUCCCUAUCUGUCGUGGGCGUAGGAUAUUUGAGAGGAGCUGUCCCUAGUACGAGAGGACCGGGAUGGACGCACCUCUGGUGCACCAG